UGGGGAAUAUUGGACAAUGGGCGCAAGCCUGAUCCAGCCAUGCCGCGUGGGUGAAGAAGGCCUUCGGGUUGUAAAGCCCUUUUGUUGGGAAAGAAAAGCAGUCGGUUAAUACCCGAUUGUCCUGACGGUACCCAAAGAAUAAGCACCGGCUAACUUCGUGCCAGCAGCCGCGGUAAUACGAAGGGUGCAAGCGUUACUCGGAAUCACUGGGCGUAAAGCGUGCGUAGGUGGUUUGUUAAGUCUGAUGUGAAAGCCCUGGGCUCAACCUGGGAAUUGCAUUGGAUACUGGCAGGCUGGAGUGCGGUAGAGGGUAGUGGAAUUCCCGGUGUAGCAGUGAAAUGCGUAGAGAUCGGGAGGAACAUCCGUGGCGAAGGCGACUACCUGGACCAGCACCGACACUGAGGCACGAAAGCGUGGGGAGCAAACAGGAUUAGAUACCCUGGUAGUCCACGCCCUAAACGAUGCGAACUGGAUGUUGGGUUCAAUUAGGAACUCAGUAUCGAGGCUAACGCGUUAAGUUCGCCGCCUGGGGAGUACGGUCGCAAGACUGAAACUCAAA
rnacentral:rRNA from 1 species